CUACGGAACUCCUACGGGAGGCAGCAGUGGGGAAUAUUGGACAGUGGGCGAAAGCCUGAUCCAGCCAUGCCGCGUGUGUGAAGAAGGUCUUCGGAUUGUAAAGCACUUUAAGUUGGGAGGAAGGGCAUUAACCUAAUACGUUAGUGUUUUGACGUUACCGACAGAAUAAGCACCGGCUAACUUCGUGCCAGCAGCCGCGGUAAUACGAAGGGUGCAAGCGUUAAUCGGAAUUACUGGGCGUAAAGCGCGCGUAGGUGGUUUGUUAAGUUGAAUGUGAAAGCCCCGGGCUCAACCUGGGAACUGCAUCCAAAACUGGUAAGCUAGAGUAUGGCAGAGGGUGGUGGAAUUUCCUGUGUAGCGGUGAAAUGCGUAGAUAUAGGAAGGAACACCAGUGGCGAAGGCGACCACCCGGGCUAAUACUGACACUGAGGUGCGAAAGCGUGGGGAGCAAACAGGAUUAGAUACCCCGGUAGUCCUCUUCGA
rnacentral:rRNA from 1 species